CGUAGGUGAACCUGCGGAAGGAUCAUUAUUGAAUGAAACACUUCUGGCUUUAUGCUGUUGUGCUGGCCCUUUGGGCAAUGUGCACACGGCUCUGGUCACUUGUUUCUUCUGUUCCACCUGUGCACUGCCUGUAGACACGCUGUGUCUAUGAUAUUUGUUAACACACAACAAUGUUAGUUGGCAUGUUAUAUAUAAUAAUAAAAUAUACAACUUUCAACAACGGAUCUCUUGGCUCAC
rnacentral:misc_RNA from 1 species